AGGAAAGCAGGGGAUCGCAAGACCUUGCGCUUUUGGAGCGGCCGAUGUCUGAUUAGCUAGUUGGUGAGGUAAAGGCUUACCAAGGCUUCGAUCAGUAGCUGGUCUGAGAGGACGACCAGCCACACUGGGACUGAGACACGGCCCAGACUCCUACGGGAGGCAGCAGUGGGGAAUUUUGGACAAUGGGGGAAACCCUGAUCCAGCCAUGCCGCGUGAGUGAAGAAGGCCUUCGGGUUGUAAAGCUCUUUCAGCCGGAACGAAAAGGUUACGGUUAAUACCCGUGACUAAUGACGGUACCGGAAGAAGAAGCACCGGCUAACUACGUGCCAGCAGCCGCGGUAAUACGUAGGGUGCGAGCGUUAAUCGGAAUUACUGGGCGUAAAGCGUGCGCAGGCGGUUUUGUAAGUCAGAUGUGAAAUCCCCGGGCUCAACCUGNGAACUGCGUUUGAAACUACAAAGCU
rnacentral:rRNA from 1 species